UACGGAAGGGGGCUAGCGUUGCUCGGAAUCACUGGGCGUAAAGCGCACGUAGGCGGAUUGUUAAGUCAGGGGUGAAAUCCUGGAGCUCAACUCCAGAACUGCCUUUGAUACUGGCGAUCUCGAGUCCGGGAGAGGUGAGUGGAACUGCGAGUGUAGAGGUGAAAUUCGUAGAUAUUCGCAAGAACACCAGUGGCGAAGGCGGCUCACUGGCCCGGUACUGACGCUGAGGUG
rnacentral:rRNA from 1 species